AGAAAUGAAGACUAAAAAACCGGCUGAGAUAAGUGAUGACGAGCUCUCGCACUGAUC
rfam:Sulfolobus acidocaldarius DSM 639, complete genome.